CUUUGAGGUCAGACACAAGUAAGAGAAACAGAGAUCAGAAAGCACCCAGGAUCAUCUCAGCAGUUUUGUACAUGUACCUAAACAAGGGACUUGUCUAGCCCAACCUUGCUCACACCUCCUAUUUCAAAGAGCGGGUUCCACAGCCAAUUUCCUGCUUGCUCAGUGGACAUCUUCCAGAAAGAAGCCUUCAGCAUUCCCACUGCUCAACCAUGCUCGUGGUGCUCAUCCCAGUACUGGGGAUGCUUUUUGCUUUGAGAGAUGCCAGAGCUCAGUCAGUGACCCAGCCUGAUGGCCAUGUCUUGGUCUCUGAAGGAGCCCGUCUGGAGCUGAAAUGCACCUAUUCGUAUGAUAGAGCUCCUGCUCUCUUCUGGUAUGUCCAGUACCCCAGCCAAGGCCUCCAGCUUCUCCUCAAGUACUUUUCAGGGGAUACCUUGGUUAAAGGCAUCAAAGAGUUUGAGGCCGAAUUUAGGAAAAAUGAAUCUUCUUUCAACCUGAGGAAAUCUGCAGCCCAUUGGAGUGACUCAGCUGUGUACUUCUGUGUUCUGAGUGACACAGUGCGGGAGACUGUAGGGGGAGCUGAACACAAACUGUGAGACACUAGGGAGGACAACUGCGUCUGAAAGAUUUUGGACUCUGACAUAGUGGAGGCCAUAGUGUUCUUAUCAUACGGUAGUGUAGGGGAGGAAGACUUUUCCUCUACCUAAUGUGAGCUCAUCUGGCCAGAGAACGAAUUAAA